rnacentral:rRNA from 1 species
UACGUAGGGUGCGAGCGUUAAUCGGAAUUACUGGGCGUAAAGCGUGCGCAGGCGGUUAUGUAAGACAGGUGUGAAAUCCCCGGGCUUAACCUGGGAACUGCAUUCGUGACUGCAUAGCUAGAGUACGGUAGAGGGGGAUGGAAUUCCGCGUGUAGCAGUGAAAUGCGUAGAUAUGCGGAGGAACACCGAUGGCGAAGGCAAUCCCCUGGACCUGUACUGACGCUCAUGCACGAAAGCGUGGGGAGCAAACAGG